UACGUAGGGCGCAAGUGUUAUCCGGAAUCACUGGGCGUAAAGCGUCUGUAGGUGGUUCGAAAAGUCCACUGUUAAAAAUUGAAGCUUAACUUCAAAGAUGCCGUGGAAACUUUCAAACUAGAGUGUGGUAGGGGUAGAGGGAAUUCCUGGUGGUAGCGGUGAAAUGCGCAGAUAUCAGGAGGAACACCAAUGGCGAAGGCAGCUCGCUGGGACGGUACUGACGCUGAGACGCGAAAGCGUGGGGAGCAAACAG
rnacentral:rRNA from 1 species